AUUGAACGCUGGCGGAAUGCUUUACACAUGCAAGUCGAACGGUAGAGGGGGCAACCCCUCGAGAGUGGCGAACGGGUGAGUAAUAUAUCGGAACGUGCCCAGUCGGGGGGGAUAACGUAGCGAAAGUUACGCCAAUACCGCAUACGAUCUAAGGAUGAAAGCGGGGGAUCGCAAGACCUCGCGCGCUUGGAGCGGCCGAUAUCAGAUUAGGUAGUUGGUGGGGUAAAGGCUAACCAAGCCAACGAUCUGUAGCUGGUCUGAGAGGACGACCAGCCACACUGGAACUGAGACACGGUCCAGACUCCUACGGGAGGCAGCAGUGGGGAAUUUUGGACAAUGGACGCAAGUCUGAUCCAGCCAUUCCGCGUGCAGGAUGAAGGCCCUCGGGUUGUAAACUGCUUUUGUACGGAACGAAAAGGUCUCUCUUAAUACGGGGGGCUCAUGACGGUACCGUAAGAAUAAGCACCGGCUAACUACGUGCCAGCCGCCGCGGUAA
rnacentral:rRNA from 1 species